CGCUUAAUCAUCGUCCCAUCGUCGCCGUCGUCCGUCGUUCUGUGCGUGCGUGAAGUUCGGUUCUGUUUGCUUACGGAAUUUGUUGGAAAUUCUCGUGUGAUCGGUUAUCCUAAAGGCAUUCAAGUGCAAGAUUUGACCGCACCUCACUGCAGCGAUCAGAAAUCAGAACAAACAAACUGUAAUAUUCGAAUUAUAAUCUGCCUUUGUUGGGCGUAGUUGAUCAGUGAAAAAUCGACGUGAGUUCGUAGGCGUAUGAAUACAGUGUCAUCACAAUAGAACGCUUUUUCGAACACGGUCGCCGCCAUGUUGAAUUUGUGAGAGGCGAAGGCGAGAGGCGAUUCAAUUGACUGCUGUGUGCAGCACGAAGAAAAUCAGCGGAAGCGGAGUUUUUCUGUUUUUCCCGUGAAAACCCGUGCGAAAAGUGUUGAAAAGUGUACCAUUUUGUUGCUAGCGAGUUCGUGAUCAAAUUGCCAUCAUGUCGCAGGCACUCCCGAUCCGUUUCCAAGAGCAUUUGCAGCUCACCAACAUCAACAUAAACCCGAGCUCAAUCUCUUUCACCAACCUAACCAUGGAAUCGGACAAGUUUAUCUGUGUCCGUGAGAAAAUCGGUGAAACGGCGCAGGUCGUCAUCAUCGACAUGAACGACGCGCAAAAUCCCAUUCGCCGGCCGAUAAGCGCUGAUUCGGCUAUCAUGAACCCUGCUAGUAAGGUCAUCGCUCUCAAAGCUCAAAAGACUCUUCAAAUUUUCAACAUCGAGAUGAAGUCGAAAAUGAAGGCCCACGCAAUGACCGAGGAGGUAGUCUUCUGGAAGUGGAUCACGCUGAACACGCUGUCUUUGGUGACCGAAACUUCGGUGUACCAUUGGUCCAUGGAGGGAGACUCUACCCCAGUAAAGAUGUUCGAGCGACACUCAUCGCUGAACGGAUGCCAAAUCAUCAACUAUAGAACCGAUCCCAAGCAGGCUUGGCUUCUCUUAGUUGGUAUCUCCGCUCAGCAAAACCGUGUGAUCGGGGCAAUGCAACUAUACUCAGUGGAACGCAAAGUGUCCCAGGCAAUCGAAGGUCACGCAGCGUCGUUCGCGACAUUCAAGAUGGAGGAGAACAAGGAACCAUCGACGUUGUUCUGCUUUGCCGUUCGCUCGGCCAAUGCUGCCAAACUGCAUAUCAUCGAGGUUGGUGCACCGCCCACCGGCAACACCGCUUUCACAAAGAAAGCCGUGGAUGUCUUCUUCCCACCGGAGGCGCAGAGCGACUUCCCAGUAGCGAUGCAAGUGUCGCCAAAAUAUGACGUUAUUUAUUUGAUCACCAAAUAUGGCUACAUUCAUAUGUACGAUAUCGAAACAGGCACAUGUAUCUACAUGAACCGUAUUUCGGCGGAUACCAUUUUCGUGACGGCUCCGCAUGAAUCCAGCGGCGGAAUAAUCGGUGUCAAUCGCAAAGGUCAAGUCCUGUCGGUAACGGUUGACGAAGAACAAAUCAUUCCUUACAUCAACACAGUUCUGCAAAAUCCCGAUCUUGCACUACGCAUGGCCGUCCGGAACAAUCUAUCCGGAGCAGAGGAUUUGUUUGUGCGCAAGUUCAAUCAACUGUUCCAAAAUGCCCAGUAUGCCGAAGCUGCCAAGGUUGCAGCUAUUGCUCCCAGGGGAAUACUUCGUACUCCUCAAACAAUCCAAAAAUUCCAACAGGUUCCCGCUCAGCCUGGAACAAAUUCGCCUCCGUUGCUGCAAUACUUUGGCAUUCUGCUUGACCAAGGCAAGCUGAACAAAUAUGAAUCUCUCGAGCUGUGCCGCCCGGUCUUGGCCCAGGGUCGUAAGCAGUUAUGCGAGAAGUGGCUGAAAGAGGAAAAACUGGAGUGCAGCGAAGAGCUGGGAGACCUGGUGAAACCGUCAGAUCCAACUUUGGCUCUCUCCAUCUAUCUACGCUCGAAUGUCCCGAACAAGGUCAUCCAAUGCUUCGCUGAGACCGGACAGUUCCAGAAGAUCGUACUCUACGCGAAGAAGGUCAAUUACAGCCCAGACUAUGUUUUUUUGCUGCGUUCAGUCAUGCGGACCAAUCCAGAACAGGGUGCCGGAUUCGCAAGUAUGUUGGUUGCUGAUGAAGAACCUCUGGCCGACAUUAACCAGAUCGUAGACAUAUUCAUGGAACAGAACAUGGUUCAGCAGUGUACGGCAUUCCUACUAGAUGCUUUGAAGAACAAUCGUCCCAGUGAAGGUUCCCUUCAAACCCGUCUGCUGGAGAUGAACUUGAUGUCGGCUCCACAGGUGGCAGAUGCCAUUCUUGGUAAUGCCAUGUUCACUCAUUACGAUCGUGCCCACAUCGCCCAGCUGUGCGAGAAAGCUGGAUUGUUGCAACGUGCUCUGGAACAUUACACGGAUUUGUACGACAUCAAGCGUGCUGUUGUACAUACACAUCUGUUGAACGGAGAUUGGCUGGUGGGAUUCUUCGGUACGUUGUCAGUUGAGGAUUCUCUGGAAUGUUUGAAGGCAAUGCUGACAGCCAACAUUCGCCAGAAUCUGCAAAUCUGUGUUCAGAUUGCGACCAAGUACCACGAACAGCUGACCACAAAGGCUCUGAUUGAUUUGUUCGAAAGCUUCAAGAGCUACGAAGGAUUGUUCUACUUCCUGGGGUCGAUUGUCAACUUCAGCCAAGAUCCGGAAGUGCACUUCAAGUACAUUCAAGCGGCAUGCAAGACAAACCAAAUCAAGGAAGUUGAACGUAUUUGCCGCGAGUCCAACUGCUAUAACGCCGAACGUGUGAAGAACUUCCUCAAGGAAGCUAAGCUGACCGAUCAGCUACCAUUGAUCAUCGUUUGCGAUCGUUUCGAUUUUGUACACGAUCUUGUACUCUAUCUGUACCGCAACAGUCUGCAAAAGUACAUUGAGAUUUAUGUACAAAAGGUGAACCCAUCUCGUCUCCCGGUCGUUGUUGGAGGCCUUCUGGAUGUCGACUGCUCCGAGGACAUAAUUAAGAACCUAAUCUUGGUAGUGAAAGGCCAAUUCUCCACCGAUGAGCUCGUGGAAGAGGUUGAAAAACGCAAUCGGCUGAAGUUGUUGCUUCCGUGGCUGGAAUCUCGCGUCCACGAGGGCUGCAUCGAGCCAGCAACUCACAAUGCUCUUGCCAAGAUCUAUAUCGAUUCGAACAACAAUCCGGAAAGGUUCUUGAAGGAGAACCAGUUUUACGACAGCCGUGUGGUGGGAAGAUACUGCGAGAAGCGUGAUCCUCACUUGGCUUGCGUCGCCUAUGAACGUGGACAUUGUGAUCGGGAACUGAUUGCCGUGUGCAACGAGAACUCGCUCUUCAAAUCCGAAGCCAGAUACCUGGUUCGCCGACGUGACGCAGAACUGUGGGCCGAUGUGCUGUCGGAAGCUAACCCGUACAAACGUCAACUGAUCGAUCAGGUCGUGCAAACUGCGCUUUCCGAAACACAGGAUCCGGACGACAUCUCUGUUACCGUAAAGGCAUUCAUGACUGCUGAUUUACCAAACGAAUUGAUCGAGUUGCUCGAGAAAAUUGUGCUAGACUCUUCGGUGUUUUCGGAUCAUCGCAAUUUGCAAAAUCUGCUCAUCCUCACGGCGAUCAAGGCAGACAGAAGCCGAGUCAUGGAUUACAUCAACCGUUUGGACAAUUACGAUGCACCGGAUAUUGCCAACAUUGCUAUCAACAACGAGCUGUACGAGGAAGCGUUCGCCAUUUUCAAGAAAUUCGAUGUCAAUACUUCUGCUAUUCAGGUUCUGAUUGAACAGGUGCACAAUUUGGAGAGGGCAAAUGAAUUCGCCGAACGCUGCAAUGAACCGGCAGUUUGGUCUCAAUUGGCACGCGCACAAUUACAACAGGGAUUGGUUAAAGAGGCCAUUGACAGUUACAUUAAAGCAGAUGAUCCUAGUGCGUACAUGGACGUUGUGGAAACUGCUAGCAAAAAUGAAUCUUGGGAAGAUUUGGUUCGAUAUCUGCAAAUGGCACGCAAGAAGGCUCGUGAAAGCUACAUCGAAAGUGAAUUGAUCUAUGCCUACGCUCGCACUGGUCGGUUGGCAGAUUUGGAAGAGUUCGUUUCCGGACCGAACCAUGCCGACAUCCAGAAGAUUGGCGAUCGCUGCUUCAAUGAUAAAAUGUACGAAGCUGCGAAACUACUCUACAACAACGUCAGCAAUUUCGCCAGAUUGGCCAUUACUUUGGUCCACUUGAAGGAAUUUCAGGGAGCUGUGGAUGGCGCGAGAAAAGCCAAUUCCACUCGUACAUGGAAGGAGGUCUGCUUUGCUUGUGUUGAUGCCGAGGAAUUCCGAUUGGCCCAGAUGUGCGGCCUGCACAUUGUAGUCCAUGCAGAUGAAUUGGAAGAUCUGAUUACUUACUAUCAGGAUCGAGGUCACUUUGAAGAGCUGAUUGGACUCCUUGAAGCAGCGCUUGGAUUGGAGCGCGCCCAUAUGGGCAUGUUCACGGAGCUGGCUAUCCUGUACUCGAAAUACAAGCCAGCUAAAAUGCGUGAACACUUGGAGCUAUUCUGGUCCCGCGUUAACAUUCCCAAGGUACUUCGCGCUGCUGAGCAGGCUCACCUCUGGUCGGAACUGGUAUUCCUGUACGAUAAAUACGAAGAGUACGAUAACGCUGUCCUGGCGAUGAUGGCUCAUCCUACCGAAGCUUGGAGGGAAGGACACUUCAAAGACAUUAUCACAAAGGUGGCAAACAUUGAGCUAUACUACAAGGCUAUCCAAUUCUAUCUCGAUUACAAACCGCUUCUGCUGAACGAUAUGCUUCUCGUGCUGGCACCCCGAAUGGACCAUACUCGUUCAGUGAACUUCUUCACUAAGCAAGGACACCUACAGCUGGUGAAGACGUAUCUUCGUUCAGUGCAAAGCCUAAACAACAAGGCAAUCAAUGAAGCACUCAAUGGACUGCUGAUUGAUGAAGAGGACUACCAGGGACUCAGAACAUCGAUCGACGCGUUCGACAACUUUGACAACAUCGCUCUUGCUCAGAAACUGGAGAAGCAUGAACUGACGGAAUUCAGACGGAUUGCCGCUUACUUGUACAAAGGAAACAACCGCUGGAAGCAGAGCGUGGAAUUGUGCAAAAAGGAUCGUCUCUUUAAAGAUGCAAUGGAAUAUGCAGCGGAAUCCCAUCAGGGAGAACUGGCUGAAGAAUUACUUGGUUGGUUCCUAGAACGUGGCGCGCACGAUUGCUUCGCGGCAUGUUUAUUCCAGUGCUACGACCUCCUGCGCCCGGAUAUCAUUUUAGAGCUGGCAUGGCGUCACAAUAUCAUGGACUUUGCAAUGCCCUAUUUAAUACAGGUAACCCGAGAGUACACAUCCAAGGUGGACAAAUUGGAAGUAGCCGAUGCUGAACGACAAAAGGAGGGAGAAAAUUCCGAACACAAAUCAAUCAUCCUGCCGGAGCCCCAACUCAUGCUAACCGCUGGUCCGGGAAUGGGAAUGCCGCAGUAUGCCCCGCAAUAUGCCGGAGCUUACGUUCCGGCGCAACCGAAUAUGUCACCAUAUCCGGGAUAUGGUGGUAUGUAAAAACAACACCCACAUACCUGCAUACCUACACAACACACCCACACGUUCGAACAUGCAUCGUAGUUCUGAAUUCGUUAUUUGACUGUGCUAUCGGUAGACACUAAAAUCAUUUAUUUUUUGUCUUCUUAAUUACGACUCGCUCGCUAACGUGCAGCGUUCAGCUAAGGUGAACAUUACUGAUCAUUUCGUUUUCAACUAGUUGUACAAGAGAGGUUAUAUAUAUUAUCGCAAACAAGAAUAUAGAACAGAAAAACAGAAAUUAAGAUAUAACAACUAAACUAUAAACCGAAGAGUUCGGAUGCUAUAUUUAUUAAUUUGUUGAUAUAUUUUUCAAUUAAAUCUAAAUUGUGUUAGUCCCUUUGAUCGAGACUAUAAUAAACAAUAAAGAUAUUGUCCAUCUCUAAAUCGAUCUUAUUCUAUCCAACUGCAGCCACUGGUGCUCGAAUGUAGCCAUGCCUAGUUAAGUCACACAGAUGGAAGAGAAGUUAGGAAGAUGUUUCAUCCCAGCCUCUUAAGUUUUCAUGAAUUUGUGUGAUUCAUCUAAGUGGUAACCAUUUUGUAUCGAUGACUAUGUCUUUGUAGCAAACAUCGUUGAUAAAUAAAUAAGCAGUGAUGAAGUUAAUGAAAAAGAUACCUUCGGAAAAUUUGUUUUGCAUAACAAACGUCGUUAGAAUCAAAUCUACAGAAAUAUUGUAAAUAUAUUCAAAGAAGAAAAUGGAAAGAAUUAUAUAAUUCAAAAAUUAUAUAAAAAAUAUAUAUAUAUGAAAGAAUUGUAGGUAUUUCCGGUGGUGCAAAACGUUGAAAAAUAAAACUCAAAUUCUCAUCAACAGUAGGUAUACAUAUUUGCACAUUUUUUUUUAAACAAAAUAAUUUCUUUUGUGCAUUGUUUGAGAAAAAAAUAUAAGAUGAAACGAUUUUAAUAUAAACUAAAUCAGUAUUUCUCCGUAAUGGAUUUAUUGUAACAAAAUUGACCACUUUCAUUUCGAUUGAACCUAUGUAUCACUCUUCAACGUUGUUUGCUAGUCAUCUUUGCUUUCUUUUGACGUUUCGUUACUAUACAUUAUUCACCGGUUUUAUAUUUUUGUGUUUUACAAACAAUCAUAAAUUUGCAUUCCUUCCUAAAAUAAAUUAUAUGAGAGUAAAAACGUUAUAAGGCAUGAUGAAAGAGGUGACUUGCCAGUUUCGCUGUAUUGUCUGACUUUUUAAUUAGUUAUGUUAUCAAAGUCAUGUAUCAUAAAAUCAUGCGCGAGAUGCAAAAUCAUACAAUGGACAACUCCAAAAACAGAAUAUGUAUCAAGCCAACUAAUACUGUAAUAUGGCCGCAUAAGCUGUCAUGAUCGCAAACGUGCAAUCGCCUGCUUUCCUUGUCGUAAGGGACUGUUAUGCGAUUAUGACUAGCGUAUCACACUGAGUCGUAUAGUACUAUACUUAGUAGAAAAUAUAUUGAUAUAUGCUUAAAUCAACUGA